GCUCGAGGAUUCCACGAUUCGUCACCAGAGUCUAAUCUCGACCUUCCUACUUUACCGGAUCUCUUCUUUGUACUGUCUUUACCGUCCCUCUCGUCAUCAGAUGCAUCCAGCGACGGAUAAACUAAUCAAAACCAUGAAAACGAUACCUUUACGUCAUCGUAGUCAUCCGUCAAAGAUGAAUUCAACCUUCUUCUGCCUUUGCGUUGCCGCUGGGAUGCCGAAGGAUGGGGUGGUGGAUUUGAAUUUAAAAAUCCAUUCUGUUGGUGAAACAGAAGUUUUAAGACAACAACUUCAUAGCCACGGGAAUAAAUAAUAUUACCUGGUCUGAUGUCGGAGAACUAAAUCCUCGGCUCAUCGUUAACAUGCCGACGAUGGCUUCCCUAGUCGAAGGUGAAGCUCUGCCACGAUCUCUACAAACCAAAUAGCGAAAUUAAGCCGUGCGCUUUACAAAAAUAAUAAAAAAGGAAACAUACUCUAGUUCAUCUAAAGCUCCAGGUACGGCCAUGUUACUUGCACGGAGUAGUUCUUCAAUUCCACUCUUGUUAUCACCCGCUUGUUUGUCUUCACCUGUUUCUAUGUCCAUGUGGGCUGCAACUUCUGCCGUUUCAGGAAACGGAACAUCUGUUCGCCCACCAACUGCAUAAAAACAUGUUUAAAAUAUCAGCACUUGGACGAGAAUGAAUGACAGCAUAAGGUAGUGAAGAGACACGGAGUGUUGGCGGUAGAAAAGGUAUUGUUCGAGGUUCAUCCGUUCUCUCAACUUUUAUAGACAGAAGAUCCUAGGCGAACACAACCAUGUUACAGAUAAAAGAUAUCCAGAACAUCUACUUAAAGUCAUCUUACUUCUUCGGCUGCAAAGUUACUAAGCGCUUCGUUAAUGUCAACGAAAUCAGGCCGAGUCUGUGGUUUACGGCGCACUCGUUUCGGUGAAUUUUUUUCGACUUUGGCAUUAGGUACGUUAGGCAGUGAAGUCGCCAGUGAAAACGGUGAGAGGGAUGAAUUGGAAUUCUUCUCAACAUGACGAAGCUCUCGACUCAAUUCUUUUAGUAAUUUUGAUACGAUAAUAUGUUCGGGAAUCGGUUCAUUUUUUCCUUUUCCGUUCUGCUUUAUAGGAGGAGAAACAAAAAAGAUAAUGUAUAACGAUUUUGAAUACUUUUAACGCUUUUAUACGCACAUCUUUUUCUAGUGUCCAAUUCCUAAGGGCGGUAGCUAACGCUCUCACCCCACGUAUUAACUGUUCUGGACAGCGUGAGCCCUUUCUACUCAUAUCCCUUAAAUCUUCAACUAAUCUCUCCGCUGCAAACCAGUGUAUCGUUUGAAACAUAGGAAAGCGGAAUCGGAUUGGUGCCUUAGAAGCUACUUCGAUGUUGUAAACCCUGCACAAACAUCAUCCUCAUUAAACGAAGUGGAAUUUAAAAUUGAAGUAAUAGCUUACUUUAACUGUAAUUCCAUAUUUAAAUUGUGCAAGAAGUUGCCACCAAACACAAGCGAGUCUUUUGGUGUGUAUACGGCGUGAAUCCAUCCAGUUGGAAUGAACAAGGUGUUGCCUUGAUGCAAAACAAAUCGGUGACAGGAACUAACCUAAACACAACUUGACAGUUCAGAGAUACAGAAACGCUAUGAUUACAACCACAGCUACUAUCAAGCACUUACCAUAUCUCCAAAGAAUAUUUCAUGAUGGUUUGGUUUGGACAACCACUGCAAGUAGAAAUCCAAAUUUUCUUCAGUAGGUGCGACCAAAUAGAAUACCUUUUCUCCCUGACGAUUCAUUUCACAAGAAAAAAAUUGGUAAAAAAACCGUUUGUUUUUCUCUAACGAAAACUAACUUACCUUUAAGACGUGAUACCAAACGGAUGAGCCUCCAAAGUCGAUGUGGAAAUCGGUAUAGGAAUCUUUUACUCCCAUAAGGCAAUAUUUUUGUACCUCUGGUCGUUCAAGGGCAUAAUCGCGGGGCCAAACGUUGUUUGCCCAGCAUAACUUGCGGGCAAUGUAGGGAGGCUCGACCAAGGCACUUAAACUUUAAAUUUUAAGUUUAGUUAUGCUUAAUUCGUACAAAAACCUGUAAUAAAACUUACUUAGAGUCAGAAAACUCAAGGCUUAUCACAUUUAAGACCUGUGAUCUUAAUGGAUUUGUAUAGUAUUCUACAAAGUCUUUAAGGGCCAUUCUUAUGUCUGAUUGCUUUGUUACAUCAAUAACAUCAAUUAUUCUAUCAGAACCUGUAUUCAUGAAGCAUUAGUGAAUAAAAAGACAUGAAUGUU